rnacentral:lncRNA from 1 species
GCCAUUCCCGAGAGCCGCCGCGGAGGGAUACGCGCCACAGCGCCGCGCGCUGAGUGGGGCGCCGCGCGGGCCGGGAGCGGCGGGGCUGAUGGGUACCCCGAGCGGGGGCUCCCGCCGGGAUCCGUCUGCGCCGAGCCCGCGGGAUGGAGGCGCGAAGAGGGGCAGGAGGAAGAAGUCGCGCUGUUGUUCUCCAAGCAAAAGACUAAAUGCACAUGCUGUCUGGCAGUUUUCUAGCCAAAAUAUGACACAAAUUCCCUUGGACAGCUUAGAGAAAUCCAGAGAGGAUUGUGAUUCAGAGAGCAGCUGAUUGAUUCACCUCUUCCUGUUCUCACUCAGAGGCCACAGUACGUAAGCAGAAGGUCACAGGCCGUAUGGGAUGGAAGCCAUGCUCCAAAAUAAGUACUUUCCUCAGAAUGCAGGCAGAGGGGAACAUCAAGAUAUGUGCCUCUUCUUGUGUUCAAUUCAACACGGAAUUUGGCUUGAGUGCAGCAGAAAUGUUUUUGGACACUGAGUAAUAUCACAAUUCCACAGUAAGCAAGUAAAAGGAAGUACUGUCAUUAUAUUUAAUGAUUCCUACAUUUAAAAAUAUCUGUGAAAAUUCUUGACACAGCAAGGAAACACAAAAGAUACAGCAAUUGUUUGGAAUUAAAAUUUGUAUACAAAUAUUCAAGAAAGUCUGGGCUGAGUUUGUAUCCAACUCAAAAUAUAAUUUCACUAUGCUUUACAGGCACUUGGAUCUAGUAGGUAUGUGACUACCCAAAGCAGGCAGAAUUGUUUAAUUUAGCUUUCUAUAUACAACCUGUAAGUUAGGAACAGCAGACAGUACUCUGCAAUUUUACUGAUUGUUGUCUGUUUACCAUAAUUACAGAGGUAUUUUAAACUUCCGCAUUUUGUUGUAGGCAUAAUAUUAGGUAGGGAAUAGCAGCAGAACAUUUUGAGUAGUCUGUUAUUGCGGAUACAUCCUGAGGACUAGCUGAUGCUAUUUUUAGUCACUAUGUGGUUAACUGUGACUAGACUGAGG